rnacentral:rRNA from 1 species
AACUCAAAGGAAUUGACGGGGGCCCGCACAAGCGGAGGAGCAUGUGGUUUAAUUCGAUGAUACGCGAGGAACCUUACCUGGGCUCGAACGUAAGAUGACUGUAGGUGAAAGCUUACAUCUCUUCGGAGCAUUUUACGAGGUGCUGCAUGGUUGUCGUCAGCUCGUGCCGUGAGGUGUCGGGUUAAGUCCCGUAACGAGCGCAACCCUUGUCCUUAGUUACCAGCACGUUAUGGUGGGCACUCUAAGGAGACUGCCGGUGACAAACCGGAGGAAGGUGGGGAUGACGUCAAGUCAUCAUGGCCCUUACGGCCUGGGCUACACACGUGCUACAAUGGUCGGUACAAAGGGUUGCCAAGCCGCGAGGUGGAGCUAAUCCCAUAAAACCGAUCGUAGUCCGGAUCGCAGUCUGCAACUCGACUGCGUGAAGUCGGAAUCGCUAGUAAUCGUGAAUCAGAAUGUCACGGUGAAUACGUUCCCGGGCCUU